rfam:Solenopsis invicta Si_gnG.contig45383, whole genome shotgun sequence.
CAAACGGUUCUUUUCAGAACCAUCAAAUUAUUUAACGAUGGAACAU